UUCUUAUCGAGAGUGGCGGAGGGAUUAGGCCCGAUGAACCCACGGCAACACGCCUUGAAAAAUUUUAAACUUGGGAGUGUGCUAAAGCCUGGCUUAUGAAUAGUUUUUAAGCCGCGAUGAGAG
rnacentral:ncRNA from 2 species